ensembl:snRNA U1 U1 spliceosomal RNA
AAACUCUGGCCUGACUUAAAUAAACGCCUAAAAAAAGAAGGUGGUUCACCCAUAGCGAGGCUCAGCCAUUGCACUGAGGCUGUUGCUGACCCGUGAACUUCCCAAAAUGUGGGAAUCUCGAUUGCAUAAUUUCUGGUAGUGGGGACUGCGUUCGCUCUCCCCCCCU